rnacentral:rRNA from 1 species
GUGGGGAAUUUUGGACAAUGGGCGCAAGCCUGAUCCAGCAAUGCCGCGUGCAGGAAGAAGGCCUUCGGGUUGUAAACUGCUUUUGUACGGAACGAAACGGUCCUGGUUAAUACCUGGGGCUAAUGACGGUACCGUAAGAAUAAGCACCGGCUAACUACGUGCCAGCAGCCGCGGUAAUACGUAGGGUGCAAGCGUUAAUCGGAAUUACUGGGCGUAAAGCGUGCGCAGGCGGUUUUGUAAGACAGGCGUGAAAUCCCCGGGCUCAACGUGGGAAUUGCGCUUGUGACUGCAAGGCUGGAGUGCGGCAGAGGGGGAUGGAAUUCCGCGUGUAGCAGUGAAAUGCGUAGAUAUGCGGAGGAACACCGAUGGCGAAGGCAAUCCCCUGGGCCUGCACUGACGCUCAUGCACGAAAGCGUGGGGAGCAAACAGGAUUAGAACCCGGGUAGUCC